rnacentral:rRNA from 1 species
CCUACGGGAGGCAGCAGUGGGGAAUAUUGGACAAUGGGCGGAAGCCUGAUCCAGCCAUGCCGCGUGUGUGAAGAAGGCCUUUUGGUUGUAAAGCACUUUAAGCGAGGAGGAGGCUACUAGUAUUAAUACUACUGGAUAGUGGACGUUACUCGCAGAAUAAGCACCGGCUAACUCUGUGCCAGCAGCCGCGGUAAUACAGAGGGUGCGAGCGUUAAUCGGAUUUACUGGGCGUAAAGCGUGCGUAGGCGGCUGAUUAAGUCGGAUGUGAAAUCCCUGAGCUUAACUUAGGAAUUGCAUUCGAUACUGGUCAGCUAGAGUAUGGGAGAGGAUGGUAGAAUUCCAGGUGUAGCGGUGAAAUGCGUAGAGAUCUGGAGGAAUACCGAUGGCGAAGGCAGCCAUCUGGCCUAAUACUGACGCUGAGGUACGAAAGCAUGGGGAGCAAACAGGAUUAGAUACCCUGGUAGUCCAUGCCGUAAACGAUGUCUACUAGCCGUUGGGGUCUUUGAGACUUUAGUGGCGCAGCUAACGCGAUAAGUAGACCGCCUGGGGAGUACGGUCGCAAGCUAAAACUUAAAGGAAUUGACGG